UACGUAGGUGGCGAGCGUUGUCCGGAUUUACUGGGCGUAAAGAGCGCGCAGGCGGCUGGUCAAGUCCGAUGUGAAAGCUCCCGGCUUAACUGGGAAAUUGCAUCGGAAACUGAUCGGCUGGAAGGUGGGGAGAGGGUAGUGGAAUUCCCGGUGUAGUGGUGAAAAUGCGUAGAUAUCCGGGAGGAACACCAGUGGCGAAGGCGACUACCUGGCCUGUUCUUGA
rnacentral:rRNA from 1 species